AGCGGCAGCACGGGUACUUGUACCUGGUGGCGAGCGGCGGACGGGUGAGUAAUGCCUAGGAAUCUGCCUGGUAGUGGGGGAUAACGCUCGGAAACGGACGCUAAUACCGCAUACGUCCUACGGGAGAAAGCAGGGGACCUUCGGGCCUUGCGCUAUCAGAUGAGCCUAGGUCGGAUUAGCUAGUUGGUGAGGUAAUGGCUCACCAAGGCGACGAUCCGUAACUGGUCUGAGAGGAUGAUCAGUCACACUGGAACUGAGACACGGUCCAGACUCCUACGGGAGGCAGCAGUGGGGAAUAUUGGACAAUGGGCGAAAGCCUGAUCCAGCCAUGCCGCGUGUGUGAAGAAGGUCUUCGGAUUGUAAAGCACUUUAAGUUGGGAGGAAGGGCAGUUACCUAAUACGUAUCUGUUUUGACGUUACCGACAGAAUAAGCACCGGCUAACUCUGUGCCAGCAGCCGCGGUAAUACAGAGGGUGCAAGCGUUAAUCGGAAUUACUGGGCGUAAAGCGCGCGUA
rnacentral:rRNA from 1 species